rnacentral:rRNA from 1 species
AUUGAACGCUAGCGGCAGGCCUAACAAAUGCAAGUCGAACGGGUGGCGGACGGGUGAGUAAUGUCUGGGAAACUGACUGAUGGAGGGGGAUACCUACGGGAAACGGUAGCUAAUACCGUAUACAAUCGGGUGGUCACAGAUGGGAUGAGCUAGUAGGUUGGGUAAGGGCUCACCUAGGAGACGAUCCCUAGCUGGUCUGAGAGGAUGACCAGCCACACUGGAACUGAGACACGGGCCAGACUCCACAGGUAGGCAGCAGUGGGGAAUAGUGCACAAUGGGAGCAAGCCUGGUCCAACCAUGCCGCGUGUAUGGAGAAGGCCUUCGGGUUGUAAAGUACUUUCAGCGGGGAGGCGUUACCCGCAGAAGAAGCACCGGCUAACUCCGUGCCAGCAGCCGCGGUAAUUC